CUGAUGCGUUGUUGGGUAGGGGAGCGUUCUGUAAGCCUGCGAAGGUGGCCUGUGAGGGUUGCUGGAGGUAUCAGAAGUGCGAAUGCUGACAUAAGUAACGAUAAAGCGGGUGAAAAGCCCGCUCGCCGGAAGACCAAGGGUUCCUGUCCAACGUUAAUCGGGGCAGGGUGAGUCGACCCCUAAGGCGAGGCCGAAAGGCGUAGUCGAUGGGAAACGGGUUAAUAUUCCCGUACUUGGUGUUACUGCGAAGGGGGGACGGAGAAGGCUAUGUUGGCCGGGCGACGGUUGUCCCGGUUUAAGCGUGUAGGUGUGUGUUCCAGGUAAAUCCGGUUCACUUUAACACUGAGGCGUGAUGACGAGGCACUACGGUGCUGAAGCAACAAAUGCCCUGCUUCCAGGAAAAGCCUCUAAGCAUCAGGUAACAUCAAAUCGUACCCCAAACCGACACAGGUGGUCAGGUAGAGAAUACCAAGGCGCUUGAGAGAACUCGGGUGAAGGAACUAGGCAAAAUGGUGCCGUAACUUCGGGAGAAGGCACGCUGACACGUAGGUGAAGUGAUUUACUCAUGGAGCUGAAGUCAGUCGAAGAUACCAGCUGGCUGCAACUGUUUAUUAAAAACACAGCACUGUGCAAACACGAAAGUGGACGUAUACGGUGUGACGCCUGCCCGGUGCCGGAAGGUUAAUUGAUGGGGUCAGCGCAAGCGAAGCUCCUGAUCGAAGCCCCGGUAAACGGCGGCCGUAACUAUAACGGUCCUAAGGUAGCGAAAUUCCUUGUCGGGUAAGUUCCGACCUGCACGAAUGGCGUAAUGAUGGCCAGGCUGUCUCCACCCGAGACUCAGUGAAAUUGAACUCGCUGUGAAGAUGCAGUGUACCCGCGGCAAGACGGAAAGACCCCGUGAACCUUUACUAUAGCUUGACACUGAACAUUGAGCCUUGAUGUGUAGGAUAGGUGGGAGGCUUUGAAGUGUGGACGCCAGUCUGCAUGGAGCCGGCCUUGAAAUACCACCCUUUAAUGUUUGAUGUUCUAACGUGGACCCGUGAUCCGGGUUGCGGACAGUGUCUGGUGGGUAGUUUGACUGGGGCGGUCUCCUCCUAAAGAGUAACGGAGGAGCACGAAGGUUGGCUAAUCCUGGUCGGACAUCAGGAGGUUAGUGCAAUGGCAUAAGCCAGCUUGACUGCGAGCGUGACGGCGCGAGCAGGUGCGAAAGCAGGUCAUAGUGAUCCGGUGGUUCUGAAUGGAAGGGCCAUCGCUCAACGGAUAAAAGGUACUCCGGGGAUAACAGGCUGAUACCGCCCAAGAGUUCAUAUCGACGGCGGUGUUUGGCACCUCGAUGUCGGCUCAUCACAUCCUGGGGCUGAAGUAGGUCCCAAGGGUAUGGCUGUUCGCCAUUUAAAGUGGUACGCGAGCUGGGUUUAGAACGUCGUGAGACAGUUCGGUCCCUAUCUGCCGUGGGCGCUGGAGAACUGAGGGGGGCUGCUCCUAGUACGAGAGGACCGGAGUGGACGCAUCACUGGUGUUCGGGUUGUCAUGCCAAUGGCACUGCCCGGUAGCUAAAUGCGGAAGAGAUAAGUGCUGAAAGCAUCUAAGCACGAAACUUGCCCCGAGAUGAGUUCUCCCUGAGACUUAGAGUCUCCUGAAGGAACGUUGAAGACGACGACGUUGAUAGGCCGGGUGUGUAAGCGCAGCGAUGCGUUGAGCUAACCGGUACUAAUGAACCGUGAGGCUUAACCUU
rnacentral:rRNA from 1 species